UCUGUUGCUACGUCAAGAGAUGUUGCUAUUAACAACACCCCCUUCCUCACAACUGAAAGUACUUUACAACCCGAAGGCCUUCUUCAUACACGCGGCAUGGCUGCAUCAGGCUUGCGCCCAUUGUGCAAUAUUCCCCACUGCUGCCUCCCGUAG
rnacentral:rRNA from 1 species